GGCAGUGUGGUGUAGUGGUUAGAGCGUCUGGCUAGGACCUGGGAGACCAAGGUUCAAAUCCCCAUUUGGCCA